rnacentral:rRNA from 1 species
UACGUAGGGUGCAAGCGUUAAUCGGAAUUACUGGGCGUAAAGCGUGCGCAGGCGGUUUGUAAGUCUGUCGUGAAAGCCCCGGGCUCAACCUGGGAAUUGCGAUGGAGACUGCAAGGCUUGAAUCUGGCAGAGGGGGUAGAAUUCCACGUGUAGCAGUGAAAUGCGUAGAGAUGUGGAGGAACACCGAUGGCGAAGGCAGCCCCUGGGUCAAGAUUGACGCUCGAUGCACGAAAGCGUGGGGAGCAAACAGG